rnacentral:rRNA from 1 species
ACGUAGGGUCCAAGCGUUAAUCGGAAUUACUGGGCGUAAAGCGUGCGCAGGCGGUUGUGCAAGACCGAUGUGAAAUCCCCGGGCUUAACCCGGGAAUUGCAUUGGUGACUGCACGGCUUGAGGGUGUCAGAGGGGGGUGGAAUUCCACGUGUAGCGGUGAAAUGCGUAGAGAUGUGGAGGAGUACCGAUGGCGAAGGCAGCUCCCUGGGAUAUCACUGACGCUGAUGCGCGAAAGCGUGGGGAGCAAACAG